rnacentral:rRNA from 1 species
CCUACGGGUGGCAGCAGUAGGGAAUAUUGCUCAAUGGGGGCAACCCUGAAGCAGCAAAGUCGCGUGGAGGAUGAAGGUUCUCGGAUUGUUAACUCUUUUUGUUAGAGGAGUUAAUGACGGUAUCUAACGAAUAAGCACCGGCUAACUCCGUGCCAGCAGCCGCGGUAAUACGGAGGGUGCCAGCGUUACUCGGAAUCACUGGGCGUAAAGCGCGCGUAGGCGGGUUAGCAAGUCAGAUGUGAAAGUCUAUGGCUUAACCAUAGAACUGCAUUUGAAACUGUUAUUCUAGAGUAUGGGAGAGGUAGGUGGAAUUCGUGGUGUAGGGGUAAAAUCCGUAGAGAUCAAGAGGAAUACUCAUUGCGAAGGCGGCCUACUAGAACAUAACUGACGCUGAUGCGCGAAAGCGUGGGGAGCAAACAGGAUUAGAUACCCGAGUAGUC